rnacentral:rRNA from 1 species
AUACGUAGGGUGCAAGCGUUAAUCGGAAUUACUGGGCGUAAAGCGUGCGCAGGCGGUUCGGAAAGAAGGAUGUGAAAUCCCAGGGCUCAACCUUGGAACUGCAUUCUUAACUACCGAACUAGGGUAUGUCAGAGGGGGGUAGAAUUCCGCGUGUAGCAGUGAAAUGCGUAGAUAUGCGGAGGAAUACCGAUGGCGAAGGCAGCCCCCUGGGAUAAUACUGACGCUCAUGCACGAAAGCGUGGGUAGCAAACAGGAUUAGAUACCCUGGUAGUCCACGCCCUAAACGAUGUCAACUAGCUGUUGGGCCCUUCGGGGCUUAGUAGCGUAGCUAACGCGUGAAGUUGACCGCCUGGGGAGUACGGUCGCAAGAUUAAAACUCAAAUGAAUUGACGGGG